rnacentral:rRNA from 1 species
UACGUAGGGGGCUAGCGUUGUCCGGAAUCAUUGGGCGUAAAGAGCGUGUAGGCGGCCCGGUAAGUCCGCUGUGAAAGUCGGGGGCUCAACCCUCGAAUGCCGGUGGAUACUGUCGGGCUAGAGUGCGGAAGAGGCGAGUGGAAUUCCUGGUGUAGCGGUGAAAUGCGCAGAUAUCAGGAGGAACACCGGUGGCGAAGGCAGCUCACUGGGACGGUACUGACGCUGAGGCGCGAAAGCGUGGGGAGCAAACAGG